CCUACGGGAGGCAGCAGUAGGGAAUUUUCGGCAAUGGGGGGAACCCUGACGGAGCGACGCCGCGUGAAGGAAGAAGGAAUUCGGUCUGUAAACUUCUGUUAUAAAGGAAGAAAGACGGAUGGAGUAAAUAACAUCGAAUUGACGGUACCUUAUGAGAAAGCAACGGCUAACUACGUGCCAGCAGCCGCGGUAAUACGUAGGUGGCAAGCGUUAUCCGGAAUUAUUGGGCGUAAAGCGGGAGAAGGCGGAAGCUAAAGUCUGUGGUGAAAGACUGAAGCUAAACUUCAGUAAGCCAUAGAAACCGGGCAGCUAGAGUGCAGGAGAGGAUCGUGGAAUUCCAUGUGUAGCGGUGAAAUGCGUAGAUAUAUGGAGGAACACCAGUGGCGAAGGCGACGAUCUGGCCUGCAACUGACGCUCAGGCCCGAAAGCGUGGGGAGCAAAUAGGAUUAGAUACCCGAGUAGUC
rnacentral:rRNA from 1 species